AUUGAACGCUGGCGGCAUGCCUUACACAUGCAAGUCGAACGGUAACAGGUCUUCUGAUGCUGACGAGUGGCGAACGGGUGAGUAAUACAUCGGAACGUGCCCGAUCGUGGGGGAUAACGCAGCGAAAGCUGUGCUAAUACCGCAUACGAUCUACGGAUGCAAGCGGGGGAUCGCAAGACCUCGCGCGGACGGAGCGGCCGAUGGCAGAUUAGGUAGUUGGUGGGAUAAAAGCUUACCAAGCCGACGAUCUGUAGCUGGUCUGAGAGGACGACCAGCCACACUGGGAGUGAGACAGGGCCCAGACUCCUACGGGAGGCAGCAGUGGGGAAUUUUGGACAAUGGGCGCAAGCCUGAUACAGCCAUGCCGCGUGAAGGAUGAAGGCCUUCGGGUUGUAAACUGCUUUUGUACGGAACGAAAAAGCUCUCUCUAAUACAGGGGGUGAAUGACGGUACCGGAAGAAUAAGCACCGGCUAACUACGUG
rnacentral:rRNA from 1 species